rnacentral:lncRNA from 1 species
UGGAUCCACGCAUCCGUCUCCAUUUUGCCGACGAAUAGUCCUCCGAUAUUGUCCUGAAGGAGAAAUGUGAGUGUGGAGACAUCAGAGUGACGCCCAACUCCAACUGUGAGCUCGGGGUUUGGGCAGAUAGGAUAGUAGUUGAGGUUGAUUCUUUUGGAACCCAUGAGAAGUGAUUGUUUUGAGUCCAUGUCGUCCACAUUUAGCUUCUGCAUCAGGGCUUGUAGCAGCCACUUGACCACAAACUCAGACUUCUUCAUGAAUUGGAUCGCCUCAUUUCUGAAAUAAUUAAAUUAUAUAGUUAGAAUGGGUCCAAGUUCCUGGCAUAGGGACCAGUUAAGUAACAUAAAAUGUUCUGGAUGAAUAUCCAGCCGUCAAAAUUAUAACAUACGUUCAACGCUUUUUAAGCGUUGUGCAAGGUCUGUACUAACGCUUUUUAACCGUUAUACGAGGGUAUUUAACCCCAACUGUUGUAUGUAUUUAACUUUUAUUUUUAUCCUGGCUGCUUAUUCAUCCAACGGUCAAGAAUCUGUAAGUUAGGUUAACAAAUCCCUGACAUACAUGUGUCACCGACCUGCAGUACCUAGAAUAAUGUGUGCAUAUAGCAUGCAGAUCGACCUAGCUACUAUAUUUUCACUAGUGGCAAACAAAAUUUGAGGUGUAAUUACAUACUUGCAUGCGGCUGGCCAAAAUGCGGAAGACUCUUCAUCAGAGACAUAGAAGAGACUGAGGUAGUCUUUCCACUCAAGGGCUUUUUCUGCUUUCGGGAUAAAACUUGUUCCGAACCGAACAUUUUUUGUCGGAGAAUUUUCUUGCGAAAACUUGAUUUUCUCCUCAGCAGGCAACUGAAAGAAUCUCCGGGCGGCUUCCCUCACAUCCUCAAGAACUUCAAUGGGGACUCCAUGAUUAACAAUCUGAAAGAAUCCCCACUUCUCCGCAGCAUUCGCAAUCUGAUCAGCUACAUUCGGAUCAUCCAAAUUCGACAUGUCGAUCACGGGUAUAGAUUCUUUAUCCAAAACUUUCGUCAUGUCUAUUCGCUCCUCGAGAGGUUGAAUAUAUUGCUUUGGUAACGCUGGCCGAGCUCGGAGAUGCCCUUAACACCAUGCCCCUUUUUCACUGCAAAAUGUGUGUAGUCAUCUGAGAAGGAUGCAGCCAUUCUGUAGUAGUGCUGGAUAUCAAAUAACAAGUGCUUUGAUUGUUUGUAUGUAAGUGAAUUUAUUUGUAUGUAGAUAGGAUGAACGAUGAAUUGUAAUGCAUGGAAGGAGAGGCUAUUUAUACACUUUAUUUGAGUUCCAUGCAUAUGCAAAUCGAAUGGCAAAUGAGUGCAACAACCACACAAUUAAUUUCCACGGCCGUCAAGUGCAACGCUCUCAAACACAUACAAAUAGGAACGAACACUCACUGUUUAAGUUUAUUGUCUUACCCAGAACUAUUUCUAUUCUAAUUAAUCGCCUUAUCUGAAUUGAUAACCUAUCGGUAUUGUUUGCGUUAUGUCAAAUAAGAAUUGAUUGCCUCGCAUACUUGAAAUUAAAAUUUGUUGUACAGAUGACAAAUUGUAUACAAACUUGGCUUCUGCAAGAAGUUGAUUGAUUUUUGUCUGUUGCCGUACCGUUUCUGCCAUCGACUCGGAUUGGAUUAAUUAUCUCAACAUUACCGAUUAAGUAAAACAUACUCCAUCCAUUUUGCCGAUUGUUUACGUAACUCGUAAAGUAUAGUUUGAUGAUGUAUUUUUAAUUUUUUCUUUUUCUGAAUAAAAGUUUAAAUGUCAAAUUAUUUUUCAGAAAUUUUUUUAAAAAAUAUAUAUAAUGUAAGUAUACUUUAUAGGAGGCUUAAAAUGCGUGUCAAAAAGUAACGUAAAGAACCUGAUGGGACGGAGGGAAUAUAUAGUAAGAGUUUUAGGAUGGGAUGGACCCGGCCUAGACGGGUAUAAGUGGGGCCUAGUAAGGUCAUGGGGUGGAUUCAGUGGGGCGAGUGUGGGUCCUAGUUGGGUGAUGAUGUACCUUUAAAAUUGGGUGAUGUCAUUUAAAUACAAUUUCUCUUGGUCUGUAUAUGAAUAAUUGUUUACAUAGGCUCUUAAAAUAAAAAUAGAAACCAAUACAACNAUAAUCCGAAUACAAAACCUGCUUGUAUAUCGCUUUCUCUCCGUUCUUCAGCACCUCAGCUAGCGGGCCAAUGAUAUCUCCUGGUCUGGGAUUCACAAAAAUAGGCACGGAAACUCUGUUGUUGCUUCCAUUAGCAGCAACACGAUGCUCAACACUCUUGUAUUUACCAUUACUCAUGAUCUGAAGAGCAUCACCCACGUUGAUUACUAUCGAUCCGCUUAUCGGAGGCACGUGGAUCCACGCAUCCGUCUCCAUUUUGCCGACGAAUAGUCCUCCGAUAUUGUCCUGAAGGAGAAAUGUGAGUGUGGAGACAUCAGAGUGACGCCCAACUCCAACUGUGAGCUCGGGGUUUGGGCAGAUAGGAUAGUAGUUGAGGUUGAUUCUUUUGGAACCCAUGAGAAGUGAUUGUUUUGAGUCCAUGUCGUCCACAUUUAGCUUCUGCAUCAGGGCUUGUAGCAGCCACUUGACCACAAACUCAGACUUCUUCAUGAAUUGGAUCGCCUCAUUUCUGAAAUAAUUAAAUUAUAUAGUUAGAAUGGGUCCAAGUUCCUGGCAUAGGGACCAGUUAAGUAACAUAAAAUGUUCUGGAUGAAUAUCCAGCCGUCAAAAUUAUAACAUACGUUCAACGCUUUUUAAGCGUUGUGCAAGGUCUGUACUAACGCUUUUUAACCGUUAUACGAGGGUAUUUAACCCCAACUGUUGUAUGUAUUUAACUUUUAUUUUUAUCCUGGCUGCUUAUUCAUCCAACGGUCAAGAAUCUGUAAGUUAGGUUAACAAAUCCCUGACAUACAUGUGUCACCGACCUGCAGUACCUAGAAUAAUGUGUGCAUAUAGCAUGCAGAUCGACCUAGCUACUAUAUUUUCACUAGUGGCAAACAAAAUUUGAGGUGUAAUUACAUACUUGCAUGCGGCUGGCCAAAAUGCGGAAGACUCUUCAUCAGAGACAUAGAAGAGACUGAGGUAGUCUUUCCACUCAAGGGCUUUUUCUGCUUUCGGGAUAAAACUUGUUCCGAACCGAACAUUUUUUGUCGGAGAAUUUUCUUGCGAAAACUUGAUUUUCUCCUCAGCAGGCAACUGAAAGAAUCUCCGGGCGGCUUCCCUCACAUCCUCAAGAACUUCAAUGGGGACUCCAUGAUUAACAAUCUGAAAGAAUCCCCACUUCUCCGCAGCAUUCGCAAUCUGAUCAGCUACAUUCGGAUCAUCCAAAUUCGACAUGUCGAUCACGGGUAUAGAUUCUUUAUCCAAAACUUUCGUCAUGUCUAUUCGCUCCUCGAGAGGUUGAAUAUAUUGCUUUGGUAACGCUGGCCGAGCUCGGAGAUGCCCUUAACACCAUGCCCCUUUUUCACUGCAAAAUGUGUGUAGUCAUCUGAGAAGGAUGCAGCCAUUCUGUAGUAGUGCUGGAUAUCAAAUAACAAGUGCUUUGAUUGUUUGUAUGUAAGUGAAUUUAUUUGUAUGUAGAUAGGAUGAACGAUGAAUUGUAAUGCAUGGAAGGAGAGGCUAUUUAUACACUUUAUUUGAGUUCCAUGCAUAUGCAAAUCGAAUGGCAAAUGAGUGCAACAACCACACAAUUAAUUUCCACGGCCGUCAAGUGCAACGCUCUCAAACACAUACAAAUAGGAACGAACACUCACUGUUUAAGUUUAUUGUCUUACCCAGAACUAUUUCUAUUCUAAUUAAUCGCCUUAUCUGAAUUGAUAACCUAUCGGUAUUGUUUGCGUUAUGUCAAAUAAGAAUUGAUUGCCUCGCAUACUUGAAAUUAAAAUUUGUUGUACAGAUGACAAAUUGUAUACAAACUUGGCUUCUGCAAGAAGUUGAUUGAUUUUUGUCUGUUGCCGUACCGUUUCUGCCAUCGACUCGGAUUGGAUUAAUUAUCUCAACAUUACCGAUUAAGUAAAACAUACUCCAUCCAUUUUGCCGAUUGUUUACGUAACUCGUAAAGUAUAGUUUGAUGAUGUAUUUUUAAUUUUUUCUUUUUCUGAAUAAAAGUUUAAAUGUCAAAUUAUUUUUCAGAAAUUUUUUUAAAAAAUAUAUAUAAUGUAAGUAUACUUUAUAGGAGGCUUAAAAUGCGUGUCAAAAAGUAACGUAAAGAACCUGAUGGGACGGAGGGAAUAUAUAGUAAGAGUUUUAGGAUGGGAUGGACCCGGCCUAGACGGGUAUAAGUGGGGCCUAGUAAGGUCAUGGGGUGGAUUCAGUGGGGCGAGUGUGGGUCCUAGUUGGGUGAUGAUGUACCUUUAAAAUUGGGUGAUGUCAUUUAAAUACAAUUUCUCUUGGUCUGUAUAUGAAUAAUUGUUUACAUAGGCUCUUAAAAUAAAAAUAGAAACCAAUACAACUUAGUGAUAUUCUCAGUACAAUUUAGUGAUAUUCUCUUCAGGAUUUAGUGAUCUGUGUUGCAGGAAUUAGUGAAAACUUGCUGAAACUGCUUAGAAUCUUCAGAUAUGUUCACAUUUUCAAUUCAGAUGAUGGUGAUGAUGGUAGAGGUGAAGGUGGAGAUGGAGGAAUGACGAUUGUAGCGGAGGUCUGGGCGGCUUGAAGUAGGGGAUUGGAGCGUCAUCGGAAUAGUGUCAGCUCCGCCAUAUUUUGAAGUUGAGCCGAGGUGGAGAAAGAAGUAGGAACGGGAUUGAAGGAGGUUGAAGCAGCGACCAAGAUGAGGUUGGUGAAGAUGGAGGUGAAGAUUGUGUUGUUAGAAAAAUAAUGGAGGUGGAGAUGGAGGUGAUGGUUAUGGAGGGGGUGAGCAGCAUAGAGAUGGCGGUGGUUAUGGAGGAGGCGACGACGAAGAUGUUGGCUGGGGCGGAUUUGGAGGUGGGGUUGGUGAAAAUGAAGGUGGAGAUGAGGUUGUUUAAGAAUUUAGUGGUAUUUGUUUUUAGAUUUAGUGAUAUUCCAGUUUAGUUUUUAGUUUGUAGAAUAAAGAGGAAUCUAUUGUAGUAAGGCUUUAUGUAUAUAUGGUUCCAUUAUGUAUUUUUUUUCUAGAUUCUAUUUAAAUCAUAUUAAUAAAUUUAAUGAAUUUAGAUGCUAGAUUUUAUAUAUUAAGUUUAAUUGGUGUAGAACUGUAUGAUUACGAUCAUUUUCUUUGAAAGAUAAAGUUUCAUAAUAGUAUUUUUUUUUGUUAUUCUUUUUUUUAAGGUGUUCUUUGUUGAGUGCAACCCAUUAUAUUAUAUAAUAAAAAGUAAAUUUUAAUUAUUACAGUCAUACAUAAUUCUAUUGUAAUAUAUUCUUUUCCAUAAUUUUUGAAUGACAUAAGAACAACGUUUAUAUAUUCGGUUAAAUGUGAGUUAACUUCAUUAUAGAAAAGUCUAAAAAUCAAUUUGACACGGCAGUGCCUUCUGAACCGUAACUUUCGGGUUCUCCUAUGGCGAGGAGGCAAAUUUCCCCACGCGAGAAUUCAGAUGUGAGGUUGUCCAUGCAUUUGGUGCUCGACGAAAAAGUUGGUCUAUCAGUCCGAUUUUUUUUUUGAAAUAAGGUCUAUCAGUCCGAUUAAUUAAAUUUAAAAUUAUGAUUUAUAAUAUAGUAACAUGAUUUUAUAAGAUAAAUUAAAAUUUUAACAUACCUAUUUAAAUAAUUUUGAUUUAUUAAACUUAUGAGUUUUUAAAAAUUUAAUGAUAAAAAUAAGUGAUAGAGGUAAAUUAUGACUUACAAAUAAUUUUUAUCCAAAAUAUUUGAAAAAUCAAGUUAUUAAAAAAAAUAUCUCAAACUAUUUGGUUUUAAAUCAAUUUUUGACUUGCUAUUUUACUUUAAAUAAGUUUAUACAUUAUUACACAAACAAAUACUUUUCAGUUUAGAACUGUAUUACCCCCGGCUUAUAGGAAAACAAAUAACUCCAGCAUUUUUCAUAAAAAUAAAAUUAGCAUUUUUCUUAUGUCUCUAACUUUUCUCGUAAAAGUGAUAGAAAAGUGAUAGUUUGUUAUAACUUCAUACGCACAAAAUUAAAUAUAAAAUCAUUCACAAAAAUGAUAUGUAUUAAAUUUCAAUUCUAACAAUUUGAUGUAUUCAUAUAAAUAGCACAAAUUAAAGCAUGCAAUCUUCAUUAUCAUGUCAUUCCUUCAAAAUUUUGUAUAAAAUUUUAAGCAGCAUUACUAUUACUAUUAUAAGAGAUCAUACUACUACAUCCGCUGCGAAUUUGCUUCGAUCUAUUUAAAUCAUAAUUGAAUUAAAAUUGUUAUUAUAAUAUAUUAAUCAUAUCACUUGUACAAGUAGAGAACACUUCAUUAUUCGACACUGACAUCCAAAAUUAACAAAAUACCAAUACGUAACACUUCGAACAAAAGCUUAUGAUUGAUUGGUUUGUGUAUAAACAUUCCCAGCGUGUUUCAGGAAACAAUCAUAUCUUAGCAAAAUUCUUCUGCAAUGCUCAAUAACGUGACCUCAAUUGAAUAAGGAAAUGAUGAAAUUAGCUAUAUUAAGACGAAACUUAUAAAAAUAAAAUAACUCACCCAACGAUUAAGAUGACGAGAAGAAUAAACAAUGGUAAUUAUUAGCAGAUGCAAAUCAACUCAAAAUUGUAGUUUCGAUCUAGUGGUAUGAGUUACCUUUCUAGUAUGAAAGAGAUGAAAUUUGCAGGUGUAAAUUUUCGCCUUACAUGAUUUCAUUCCCUCGUUUUAUCUUAUCAUUGUCAAACAAUUGGUAAUAAAACAAGCAAGUCAAAAGAAUACAGAAAAUGAUCAAAAAAUAUAUAUUAAUAUCAAUAAAUAAUUCCAUUGCAAUGAUGUCCAAGUGACUUAUAUGAAUUGACAAAUGAAACAGAUAUUUUUCCAAUAUCAGCACGAUCAUAUCUUAGCAAAGUCAAUGGUCUCCUUUCCGUCAUGCCCUUUCCUGAAGAAAUGUUUCACAUAAUCCGAAUACAAAACCUGCUUGUACAUCGCUUUCUCUCCGUUCCUUAGCACCUCAGGUAGCGGCCCAAUGAUAUCUUCUGGUCUGGGAUUCACAAAAAUAGGCACCGAAACUCUGUUGUUGCUCCCAUUAGCAGCGACACGAUGCUCAACACUCUUGUAUUUUCCAUUACUCAUGAUUUGAAGAGCAUCACCAACGUUGAUUACUAUCGAUCCGCUUAUCGGAGGCACGUGGAUCCAGGCGUCGGUCUCCAUUUUGCGGACGUAGAGUCCUCCGAUAUUGUCUUGAAGGAGAAAUGUGAGUGUGGAGACAUCGGAGUGACGCCCAACUCCCACUGUGAGCUCGGGGUUUGGGCAGAUGGGAUAGUAGUUGAGGUUGAUUCUCUUGGAACCCAUUAGGAGUGGUGCUUUUGAGUCCAUGUUCUCCGCAUUUAGCUUCUGCAUCAGGGCUUGUAGCAGCCACUUGAUCACAAACUCGGACUUCUUCAUGAAUUCUAUCGCUUCGUUCCUGAAAUAAUUGAAUUAUACAGUAAGAAUAAUGUGUGCAUAUCAGCAUGCAGAUUUGCAUGUAUAUUUGUAAAUCAUAGACCUAGCCCCUCUGUUCCAGCAAGUUGUUUACGUUCACUGUAGUAACGUAAAAAACUUGCAGUGACAGAGGAGUGCUAUAUUUUCACUAACGACCAACCAAAUUUUAAAUGUAAUU